CAAUCAAGUGCCUUAAGGGUGUUCGGUGGAUGCCUUGGCGCUGAGAGGCGAUGAAGGACGUGCUACGCUGCGAUAAGCCGUGGGGAGCUGCGAAGAAGCUUUGAUCCAUGGAUUUCCGAAUGGGGAAACCCACCUUCGAUAGCCGGAACUCCAAGACCUUUGUCGAAAGACAUCGGUGUGGGGUUCGAACAGAAAUGUUAGAUGCCUAGACCUUUAGAUUUCGAUCGAAGAGGUUUUGGAUUUCCGGUUAUCAAGAGAAGGUAUGAGACUUCUGAAUACAUAGGAGGUUUCAAGCAAACCCAGGGAACUGAAACAUCUAAGUACCUGGAGGAAAGGACAUCAACAGAG
rnacentral:rRNA from 4 species